rnacentral:rRNA from 1 species
CCUACGAGAGGCAGCAGUGAGGAAUAUUGGUCAAUGGACGCAAGUCUGAACCAGCCAUGCCGCGUGCAGGAAGACGGCUCUAUGAGUUGUAAACUGCUUUUGUACGAGGGUAAACUCAGAUACGCGUAUCUGUCUGAAAGUAUCGUACGAAUAAGGCUCGGCUAACUCCGUGCCAGCAGCCGCGGUAAUACGGAGGAUUCAAGCGUUAUCCGGAUUUAUUGGGUUUAAAGGGUGCGUAGGCGGGCGGAUAAGUUAGAGGUGAAAUCUCGAGGCGCAACUUCGGAAUUGCCUCGGAUACUGUUCGGCUAGAGAGUAGUUGCGGUAGGCGGAAUGUAUGGUGUAGCGGUGAAAUGCUUAGAGAUCAUACAGAACACCGAUUGCGAAGGCAGCUUACCAAGCUACUUCUGACGUUGAGGCACGAAAGCGUGGGGAGCAAACAGGAUUAGAUACCCUAGUAGUC